rnacentral:rRNA from 1 species
AACGAACGCUGGCGGCAGGCCUAACACAUGCAAGUCGAACGAACCUUCGGGUGAGUGGCGCACGGGUGCGUAACACGUGGGAAUCUACACUUGGGUAAGGAAUAACUCGGGGAAACCUGGGCUAAUACCUUAUAAUGACUCCGGUCCAAAGAUUUAUCGCCCAAGGAUGAGCCCGCGCCUGAUUAGGUUGUUGGUAGGGUAAUGGCCUACCAAGCCUACGAUCAGUAGCUGGUCUGAGAGGAUGAUCAGCCACACUGGAACUGACACACGGUCCAGACUCCUACGGGAGGCAGCAGUGAGGAAUAUUGCGCAAUGGGGGAAACCCUGACGCAGCCAUGCCGCGUGAGUGACGAAGGCCUUAGGGUUGUAAAGCUCUUUCAGAUGCGAAUAUAAUGAAGGUACCAUCAGAAGAAGCUCCGGCUAAAUUCG